AGCCAGCCAACUUGGUUCAGAGUAACAGUAAAUCAGACCGAGCAGCUCCAAACAGCUCCUCCGGCUCCUGCAGUGAAACUGUAACCCCCCCCUCCCUAACCCCCCGUAGCAAGUAUUUUUGGCCGCUCAGAAGAAGAACCCGGGUGUGAUCGCCGCGGUCUCUUUUCCUCGGACACACUCGAAGAGUUGUUCGGCGAGAGCAACAACGGAGACCCCGUUUUUUUUUUGUUGUUGUUGUUCUUCAGUCUCCUCCUCACGUCUAUUUGCACAUCUUUAAUUUCAUAUCACACUGGAAAUGUCCGAAAACAAGCCGAAUGAUGAGCCCACGUUAUCUACGACGGACAGGGUGGUGAAAUCUGUCCCCUUCCCCCCCAGCCACCGGCUGACAGCUAAAGAGGUGUUUGACAGCGACGGGAAGCCCAAAGUGGAUGUGCUGAAAGCUCACCUAACCAAGGAGGGCCGUGUGGAGGAGUCUGUGGCCCUCAGGCUCAUCGGGGAGGGCGGCGCCAUCCUGCGCGCAGAGAAGAACCUGCUGGACAUCGAGGCCCCCGUGACAGUUUGCGGAGACAUCCACGGGCAGUUCUUUGACCUAAUGAAGCUAUUUGAAGUAGGAGGAUCACCAGCAUCCACGCGCUACCUUUUCCUUGGGGACUACGUAGACAGAGGGUAUUUCAGUAUUGAAUGUGUGCUCUACUUGUGGGCCUUAAAGAUCCUAUACCCCAAAACACUGUUUUUGCUUCGUGGGAAUCAUGAAUGUCGACAUUUAACAGAGUAUUUCACAUUUAAGCAGGAAUGUAAAAUUAAGUAUUCAGAGAGGGUGUAUGAUGCAUGUAUGGACGCCUUUGACUGCCUUCCCCUGGCUGCACUUAUGAACCAGCAGUUCCUGUGUGUACACGGAGGACUGUCUCCAGAAAUCACAAAUCUUGACGACAUCAGGAAACUAGACAGAUUCAAAGAGCCCCCAGCAUACGGGCCAAUGUGCGAUCUGCUAUGGUCCGACCCUCUGGAGGACUUUGGGAACGAGAAGAGCCAAGAGCACUUCACACACAACACAGUGAGAGGCUGCUCCUAUUUCUACAGCUACCCUGCAGUCUGUGACUUUCUACAACACAAUAACUUAUUAUCUAUCAUCCGGGCCCACGAAGCACAGGACGCCGGGUAUCGCAUGUACAGAAAGAGUCAGACCACUGGCUUCCCCUCCCUUAUCACCAUCUUCUCGGCUCCAAACUACCUAGAUGUCUACAACAACAAAGCGGCCGUGCUGAAAUACGAGAACAACGUGAUGAACAUCCGGCAGUUCAACUGCUCACCUCAUCCUUACUGGCUGCCCAACUUCAUGGACGUCUUCACCUGGUCUCUGCCGUUCGUCGGUGAGAAAGUGACCGAGAUGCUCGUCAAUGUGUUGAGCAUCUGUUCCAACGACGAGCUGACGACUGACGAGGAGCUGGACGGACAGCUAAUAUAUCCCCCCAAGAAAGGUGCCACAGCUUCUGCCCGUAAGGAAGUCAUCCGCAACAAGAUCCGCGCCAUUGGGAAGAUGGCCCGGGUAUUCUCUGUGCUCAGAGAGGAAAGCGAGAGCGUGCUCACACUGAAAGGGCUGACCCCGACAGGCAUGCUGCCGAGCGGAGUGCUGUCCGGUGGCAAAGAGAAGCUGCAGAACGGUACAUUCGGGUGUUGUGCAAGUAUUUCGUUGUGUUUUGUCAUCAUCGAUGUUUUUUUUUUUUUUUUUUUUGAUUAUCAUUUUUGUGAGUUGAGUUCAGGUUUUUUUUCGUUCGCUCUCUCGGCUUCAUGCACCCUGUUUUGAUGAAGCUGAGGUGGAUCUCAGCAGUUGUGUCAGACUAUAGAAACUCAGGAAGACGAUUCACUGCAAAAAGGGAACUAAAAAUAAGUAAAUUUAUCUUGAAAUCAGUGUAUUUGUCCUUGAUUUGAGCAGAUAAAGAAGAAGAUCUGCCAAUGGAAUAAGACUUUUGCACUUAUAGUAGGAACAACUCACCUUCGUCCUGAUUUCGGGUGCAGUAUAUCUAAUUAUUUUAUUUUAGGGGUCAAAAUACUCAUUCCAUUGGCAGAUAAUAUAAUUUAUAAUGCUCAUUUCUAGAAGAUUUAGCGUAUUUUUAGCUCAGUUUUUUGCAGUGUAGGAAUGGAUUAAAAAUGGCCAUGAGAGAAAACAAGGAUAGUUGUUAAUUUUGUUCUUCCCAAUAAAAAAAAAAAAAUAAUAAAAUCAGCUUUUUUCAUCAACCUGAAAGCACAUUUUUGUAGAUUUGCAGCAACCGUUAUUGUCAGUGGCCCUGUAAAGAUGUGUAAAAAGUCCAUGAAAAACAUUCAGGUGACAAUCCAGUAGCUUAAUCUCACUUUUAAAAUUAAAAGCAUAGAUUUCCUGUUAAGAAAUAACUGUUUUUAUCUGCUUUUUAUAGAGUUGUGAAAUUACUUAUGUGCAGUUUUGUCUUUUUUUCAUAAAGAAAAAUUUUCUUAUUAAACAAAUUUUACAUAUAAUCACAAAUUCACUAUGUAACAUUUAGCUUUUUACAUUUAUUUGGAUCAAAAUGUGGAAAAAGGUGAGAUUCCAGGGGCCUUUGGUAGGGAAUGCAGGCCCACAGCAUCACAGACCUGCUACUGUACUCAACAGAUAAGAUAAGAUAGACUUUAUUGAUCUCACAGUGGAGAAAUUCACAUGUCAACAGUGGGCAGGAGGCGCUUUUCCACACAUUCCUCCUUUAUUAGGCGUACAAGUUGCUGAACUUUCUCAUCCGUCUGAACAAGUUAAAGCAUAAACAAAGCAUGCUUCAGAUAUAUAUAGAUUUAUAUAGAGACUGUUAGGUGUUUCAUAAUUAUGGUUGCACUAAUUUAAUUCAAAAAUAUAAAAACAGGGUAUUUUUCCCCUCACUGUCUUAAAUUAUUAUUAUUAUACCUUUAUUUUUACAGGCAGGUCAUUAAGAACAAGUUCUUAUUUACAAUGGCGGCCUAACACGUAGAGUAACCACUUAGGAAAAGGGAAGUAGGGCUAAAAUAAAUACAAUGCAUUAGUAGUACAUACAUAAAAUACAAUUUAAAACAGACUAAAGCAUAUUGAAAUAUUUUUAGUGUGAGAUUAUGCUACUGCAAUAAAAGAUCCUUUAUUCUGCACAAGCUUUUCCUCUGCUGAGCUUUUUAACGUAGAGUUUUUUUUUUAGGACUUAUAAGCAGUAUAAUUAAUAGUUUAACGGAGAUCCACGUGUCGACAUCGGUGGAUUCUCUCGUGUUUUUAGCUGAACAGCCGUGGUGCUCCUGCUGUGAUUUUUGGCCACUUUUGAUUUGUGUGUCGCUGGUUUAGUUGGAGCUCAUCCUCUUGGACCUUUUGUGCUGUAGUCUUAAUGUCUGUACACCUUUGCUGGCGUGACGUCGACUUUAUGCAGCUUCGUUGUUGUUUUUUUAUGUGAACGUGUCAAACUCCCCAGGAUGACGGUUAGUGGUCGGUAAGUGGCUGAAGGGUUGUUGUUUUUUUUACCUUCAACCUCAGCCGGUGUAAGCCAGUACUUUUGACAUGCUGCAUCAAAAGAUACUGAAGCUGUGCUGUGAGAUGAACACAUAAUGUUCCUCAUCCAUGUGUUGUCGUCGUGUUUUUUUUUAACAGAAACAAAGCAUUUUAGUCUCAUAUUAUCUCUCACUGUUGAUCCCUGCAGGGUUGUUGUUAUCUUUUUUUUCAGUCACUACAUUCACUCUUGUUUAACACUUUUUUCUUGAAGCUCUUUAACCCUUUCCCCAUGAUAUUUGCUGCCAUUUUUUUUCCUCCUCCUCCUCCUCUUCCUCCUCCGUCCCCUCCUUUUUGCUAACAUCCUCGUAUUCUUUUGUCAUGAAAUGUGGAGAUGCCGUUAACCUUUUGUUGUCGUUAUUGGCUGUCUUUGCUGCUCAUUGACUUGUUCCUGGGACAAAAUGACCUCCUCCUGCUCACCUCUCUCGUUCAUUUUGCAACCCCCCUCUUCUUCUCUUCAGCUACUGUUGAAGCUAUUGAGGCUGACGAAGCCAUCAAAGGCUUCUCCCCUCAGCACAAGAUCACCAGCUUCGAGGAGGCCAAGGGCCUGGACCGCAUCAA